GCGGGAAAAGAUCUUAACCCGUGAUUGCUGGGACUGGCUCAAGCUCCACCAGGAGCCGUCGUUCUUUUACAAAGAGGGGUGGAGGUUCCAGUGGAGGCUGUUGUUGCCUUUUUUUUUUUUUUUUUAAUGAAUGGAGGGCGGCGGCGACUGCUGCAGCUGGGCCAGCUGCGCGGGCUGCACCCCCUCCCAGCCUGCGAGAGGAGGAAGCUAGUAGAAGAUUUGUACCAACAAAACCAAGGAGUAAACAACUUGAGAAUAACUGCAUGAGCUCAGGGCUUGGACUGUCAGAUUCCAUUUCUAAGCUUCCAGAAGAGCGACACAUAGACACUGGGGAAGUCAGAGCCUUUGAACUCCAAUGCCAUCCCCGUCACCCACCUCCACCACCAGCACCACCACCGAAUGGCACUUUGGACAAUUUUUCCCUCUCAUGUGACUUUUGUCAUUUCUUACGUCAGUUGGAGCCAGCACCUCUCAAAUCCAUCUUCUAAAACCCAGAAAAUUGUGUGUAACACAUGAUGACUGAAAGGGAGUAGGCUGACCAGUUAAGAGCCUGCCACUGGAAUGGAAGGCUGUGGGAAGGUGAGGGGACGGUGGACAUCAACCGGGAAGAGCUGAAAGAUGGCGUUACCAGGUCCAUUGGAUUCGAAGGGGUCCUCACACGAAGCAGGAAGUCACCCUGUAUCUCAGAACUGUGGAGAUCUCAGUCCGUGGUCAUCUUGUCAUACAUGACAUGGCAGGAGCCAUGGUCCAGGGAACCAGGUGGCUGCCAACUUGCAGAACAGGCGACAAAACCCCAGCCUGGACCCCCAGACCAUGCACUUCUCCCUUUGCCCUGCUUCUCCUCUGCCUGGUACAGGUUUCCAGCCAAGCUCUGCACCGGCUUCUAUGUCUGUUUGUUUUCCUUAGAAGCUUCCUAUAGAAAGCACCAGAGUGGACUACUACAUGGCCAGUAAAGAAAAGAACAA
rnacentral:lncRNA from 10 species